GUAACGUAGACGAAAGUUACGCUAAUACCGCAUACGAUCUAUGGAUGAAAGCGGGGGAUCGCAAGACCUCGCGCGAUUGGAGCGGCCGAUAUCAGAUUAGGUAGUUGGUGAGGUAAAGGCUCACCAAGCCGACGAUCUGUAGCUGGUCUGAGAGGACGACCAGCCACACUGGGACUGAGACACGGCCCAGACUCCUACGGGAGGCAGCAGUGGGAAUUUUGGACAAUGGGCGCAAGCCUGAUCCAGCAAUGCCGCGUGCAGGAUGAAGGCCUUCGGGUUGUAAACUGCUUUUGUACGGAACGAAACGGUGAGCUCUAAUACAGUUUGCUAAUGACGGUACCGUAAGAAUAAGCACCGGCUAACUACGUG
rnacentral:rRNA from 1 species